rnacentral:rRNA from 1 species
AUUGAACGCUGGCGGCAGGCCUAACACAUGCAAGUCGAACGAGCGGCGGAGGGGUGAGUAAUGUCGGGGAACCUGCGUGAUGGAGGGGGAUAACUACGGGAAACGGUGGCUAAUACCGCAUACUAUCCGAUGAGCCCAGAGGGGAUUAGCUAGUUGGUGGGGUAAAGGCUCACAAAGGCGACGAGCCCUAGCUGGUCUGAGAGGAAGACCAGCCACACUGGAACUGAGACACGGCCCAGACUCCUACGGGAGGCAGCAGUGGGGAAUAUUGCGCAAUGGGCGCAAGCCUGAUGCAGCCAUGCCGCGUGUAUGAAGAAGGCCUUCGGGUUGUAAAGUUCUUUCAGCGGGGAGGCGUUACCCACAGAAGAAGCACCGGCUAACUCCGUGCCAGCAGCCGCGGUAAUUC